CAGUUUGAAGUAACCAUCAAGGAUGAUACUGGUUCAACAACAGCCAUGAUUUCAGAUAAGAUUGGAGAAGAACUAUUGUCUCUAACUGUAGCAUAAAUUCAUGACAUACUUUGCAUCAAGAAAUAAUUGUUGUCACUCGCAUCCGUGCAACACAAACUGCUAGGUAAGACAUUCACCGUCCAAAUAAAGAAGUUGUUUGCCAAAAACAAGGAUGCAUCUUCAGCAAAACUGUUUAUCAUGUCAAUUAUCGAGAAAGAUAUUGCUAGCAAUCUGCCACUAUCCAUCACCGCACCAACAACUCUAGAAAGCAGUAAACGCAAGCUGAAUCAAUUCAUGAUAAAAGAAGACUAAAAGGGAAUUGAGAAGAUGCAGCCACAACAAUGUUGAAUAUAGACAUCAUAAGAAAGAUCAACCUCCAAAGAAUACGCUGGCUAAAAGGAAUAGGCAGCAUGAUAACGGAGAAUGAAAAGAAAAACUUCCCUGAAAAAUUAUUACAAGAUGAAUCAUAUGCGCAAGCUCAGUUGGUACUUGAGCAGUGACACACAACUCAGUUGGAUGAGAGUGCUAAAGGAUUUGUUUUGCUCGCCAUGUCUACCUUAUUU